UACGUAGGGUGCGAGCGUUAAUCGGAAUUACUGGGCGUAAAGCGUGCGCAGGCGGCGCGUUAAGACAGGUGUGAAAGCCCCGAGCUUAACUUGGGAAUUGCGCUUGUGACUGGCGUGCUGGAGUGUGGCAGAGGGAGGUGGAAUUCCACGUGUAGCAGUGAAAUGCGUAGAGAUGUGGAGGAACACCAAUGGCGAAGGCAGCUCGCUGGGACGGUACUGACGCUGAGACGCGAAAGCGUGGGGAGCAAACAGG
rnacentral:rRNA from 1 species